ACGUGAGUAACCUGCCCUUAACUCUGGGAUAAGCCUGGGAAACUGGGUCUAAUACCGGAUAUGACUCCUCAUCGCAUGGUGGGGGGUGGAAAGCUUUUUUGUGGUUUUGGAUGGACUCGCGGCCUAUCAGCUUGUUGGUGAGGUAAUGGCUCACCAAGGCGACGACGGGUAGCCGGCCUGAGAGGGUGACCGGCCACACUGGGACUGAGACACGGCCCAGACUCCUACGGGAGGCAGCAGUGGGGAAUAUUGCACAAUGGGCGCAAGCCUGAUGCAGCGACGCCGCGUGAGGGAUGACGGCCUUCGGGUUGUAAACCUCUUUCAGUAGGGAAGAAGCGAAAGUGACGGUACCUGCAGAAGAAGCGCCGGCUAACUACGUGCCAGCAGCCGCGGUAAUACGUAGGGCGCAAGCGUUAUCCGGAAUUAUUGGGCGUAAAGAGCUCGUAGGCGGUUUGUCGCGUCUGCCGUGAAAGUCCGGGGCUCAACUCCGGAUCUGCGGUGGGUACGGGCAGACUAGAGUGAUGUAGGGGAGACUGGAAUUCCUGGUGUAGCGGUGAAAUGCGCAGAUAUCAGGAGGAACACCGAUGGCGAAGGCAGGUCUCUGGGCAUUAACUGACGCUGAGGAGCGAAAGCAUGGGGAGCGAACAGGAUUAGAUACCCUGGUAGUCCAUGCCGUAAACGUUGGGCACUAGGUGUGGGGGACAUUCCACGUUUUCCGCGCCGUAGCUAACGCAUUAAGUGCCCCGCCUGGGGAGUACGGCCGCAAGGCUAAAACUCAAAGGAAUUGACG
rnacentral:rRNA from 1 species